ACGGUAACAGGUCUUCGGACGCUGACGAGUGGCGAACGGGUGAGUAAUACAUCGGAACGUGCCCAGUCGUGGGGGAUAACUACUCGAAAGAGUAGCUAAUACCGCAUACGAUCUGAGGAUGAAAGCGGGGGACCUUCGGGCCUCGCGCGAUUGGAGCGGCCGAUGGCAGAUUAGGUAGUUGGUGGGAUAAAAGCUUACCAAGCCGACGAUCUGUAGCUGGUCUGAGAGGACGACCAGCCACACUGGGACUGAGACACGGCCCAGACUCCUACGGGAGGCAGCAGUGGGGAAUUUUGGACAAUGGGCGAAAGCCUGAUCCAGCAAUGCCGCGUGCAGGAUGAAGGCCUUCGGGUUGUAAACUGCUUUUGUACGGAACGAAAAAGCUUCUCCUAAUACGAGAGGCCCAUGACGGUACCGUAAGAAUAAGCACCGGCUAACUACGUGCCAGCAGCCGCGGUAAUACGUAGGGUGCGAGCGUUAAUCGGAAUUACUGGGCGUAAAGCGUGCGCAGGCGGUUAUGUAAGACAGAUGUGAAAUCCCCGGGCUCAACCUGGGAACUGCAUUUGUGACUGCAUGGCUAGAGUACGGUAGAGGGGGAUGGAAUUCCGCGUGUAGCAGUGAAAUGCGUAGAUAUGCGGAGGAACACCGAUGGCGAAGGCA
rnacentral:rRNA from 1 species